rnacentral:lncRNA from 1 species
CUAUUUUAAUUUCAAUAUUUGCAUUAUCAAAAUUACACCAGAGGCUCUCAAGAGCCUGUGUCACUCACCUGCCUCUACUUUGGUAGCAGAUACCCAAAUAAUGAGUGAGGUAAAAUUUGGUUUAAUAAUUAAUUAAAAUCCUGGUGGCCAUCUUGAAAACAGAAAAUGGGCAACAAAGUAGUAACACUUCAUCAGCACCCCA